UGGGAAUGUGGGGUACCAAGUGACUUGAAGAUUAGAGUUAACUAGAUGCAGACUUCUUCGAUGGAACCACCGUAAGGUUGGUGACAUCUUCAAGAGGAUCGAGGGGGUGGACGUGGACAUUAUGGAGCUGCAGCUGAGAAAGGAUCAGGAGGGGGUAUCCAAGAGCAUGAUUUGAGGGAGCUCUGUCACAAGCUCUCAAUGCACUACUCCUUACUUAGACUACAUGAGAUAUUAUGGAGACAGAAGUCUAGAAUUCAAUAGAUUAGGG
rnacentral:lncRNA from 1 species